UACGGGGGGGGCAAGCGUUGUUCGGAAUUACUGGGCGUAAAGGGCUCGUAGGCGGCCAACUAAGUCAGACGUGAAAUCCCUCGGCUUAACCGGGGAACUGCAUCCGAUACUGCGUGGCUAGAGGUAGGUAGGGGAGAUCGGAAUUCCUGGUGUAGCGGUGAAAUGCGCAGAUAUCAGGAGGAACACCGGUGGCGAAGGCGGAUCUCUGGGCCUUACCUGACGCUCAGGCACGAAAGCUAGGGGAGCGAACAGG
rnacentral:rRNA from 1 species